CGCGUAGGUGGUUCUGUGUGUCUACCGUGAAAGCGUACGGCUCAACCGUAUUUUGUCGGUAGAAACUGCAGGACUUGAGGCUGGGAGGGGCUGGUGGAAUUCCCUGUGUAGCGGUGAAAUGCGUAGAGAUGGGGGAGAACACUCGUGGCGAAGGCGGCCAGCUAGACCAGUUCUGACACUGAGGCGCGAUAGCGUGGGGAGCAAACA
rnacentral:rRNA from 1 species